UUGUCGUUAAAGAGUUUUUUUAUUGUUUUUUUUUUUUUUUUUUUUCUCAUUUUAGGUAGUGUGUGGGCGGGUCAUCUAUAACACGUAGCGCCACUGACGGGCCGUACUGCGCAGACUCUCACUCCGAGCUCACAAGAUGGCGCCGGCGGGAUGGCCUGGAAGUCUAAGAAAUCUUGGCUACUACGCUGUCAUCGCUAAGGGGAGAAAUUCAGUGGAGGUCGUGGUUUGUGACUGACUUCAGGCUUCUGAGACUUUCUACCAACAACCGUCAUCGUCCUUCACCUUCAACUUGACGCUGGUGCAAACUGCAGCUUACCCGACUUCUUCAUCGAGGAAAUCCUGGCUUCUAUGCUGGGACUACUAAACGGAGAUCUUCAGUGGCUUUGGACCUUCUGAGACUUUUCGUCCUUCACCUCCAACUCGACGCUGGUAAAAACUGCAGCUUGUCCGACUUCUUCCAUAAGCCUUGUUACUGUGGAUACAGUAAGCUCCUUCACACACUGAGCUGUCAUAUCAAAGACUCUUAUAGUGAUGGACGUCCAUUGGUGUUGAAACCAUCCACCCUGUGUCUUCAAUGGUGACCUUGACGUAGCGGACUCAUGAGCGCCGGCACCGCUGCAUCCAUCUUCUCUCAGGCUCGUUCUGGUGCAGGAGUGAAACCAUGUACACGGUGAUUUUUAAGGAGGCAACGACGUGCAUUAUGUCAGAUUUGGCAAAGCGCAGGUCGGCCUGUGCUUAACAGUCGUUUAAUGAGGAAUGGAACAUUUAUUUCUACGGCCGGCCAUAUUAAAUGUUUAUGAGCUCUUCA